GAAGGAUUUUGUCUUGAGUCUACUAUCUCAGUUUAAGGUCUUUGGUACUUUGGGUAUCAGCCUCCAAAACACUGAGCUGACUCUGGCAAUGAGUGUGGCAACUUCGUUAGCAAUAUUUAUGUCCCUGGAAAGUACAAGAGGAUCACUCAAUAUUCUAUGACAGUAGUUCUCAAGACUAAAGAAAAACAACUUUGAAAAACUUAAAAACUUGGAUGACCAACCAUGACCCUCGAAGAUCAAGGAAAAAGCAUGCUCCCACCUUUUGAAAGAGAGAUGAUG